rnacentral:tRNA from 1 species
GUAGUCGUGCCGGUGGUUAAGGCGAUGACUAGAAAUCCAUUGGGGUUCUCCGCGCAGGUUCGAAUAUCCUGCCGACUACG